GGACCCGUCGUUUAACGGCAAGACAUACCUCUUAUAAAGAUAGAACGAAGGUUCGACUCCUUCCGGGUCCA
rnacentral:tRNA from 1 species